ACUAGCAUUCAAUAAGCGGAGGAAAAGAAACCAACAGGGAUUGCCCUAGUAACGGCGAGUGAAGCGGCAACAGCUCAAAUUUGAAAUCUGGCGUCUUCGGCGUCCGAGUUGUAAUUUGCAGAGGGCGCUUUGGCAUUGGCAGCGGUCCAAGUUCCUUGGAACAGGACGUCACAGAGGGUGAGAAUCCCGUACGUGGUCGCUAGCCUUUACCGUGUAAAGCCCCUUCGACGAGUCGAGUUGUUUGGGAAUGCAGCUCUAAAUGGGAGGUAAAUUUCUUCUAAAGCUAAAUACUGGCCAGAGACCGAUAGCGCACAAGUAGAGUGAUCGAAAGAUGAAAAGCACUUUGGAAAGAGAGUUAAAAAGCACGUGAAAUUGUUGAAAGGGAAGCGCUUGCAGCCAGACUUGCCUGUAGUUGCUCAUCCGGGUUUCUACCCGGUGCACUCUUCUAUAGGCAGGCCAGCAUCAGUUUGGGCGGUUGGAUAAAGGUCUCUGUCAUGUACCUCCUUUCGGGGAGAUCUUAUAGGGGAGACGACAUGCAACCAGCCUGGACUGAGGUCCGCGCAUCUGCUAGGAUGCUGGCGUAAUGGCUGUAAGCGGCCCGUCUUGAAACACGGACCAAGGAGUCUAACAUCUAUGCGAGUGUUUGGGUGUCAAGCCCGAACGCGUAAUGAAAGUGAACGGAGGUGGGAACCUUUCGGGGUGCACCAUCGACCGAUCCUGAUGUCUUCGGAUGGAUUUGAGUAAGAGCAUAGCUGUUGGGACCCGAAAGAUGGUGAACUAUGCUUGAAUAGGGUGAAGCCAGAGGAAACUCUGGUGGAGGCUCGCAGCGGUUCUGACGUGCAAAUCGAUCGUCAAAUUUGGGCAUAGGGGCGAAAGACUAAUCGAACUAUCUAGUACUGGGUCUCAGAGUCCCCCCC
rnacentral:rRNA from 1 species